CCUUAAAACCAUUGGAUUAACCUGAAAUAACAGACAAAAGUGUCAAAGAAUGAAAGAAAGAAGCUGUCAUUUCAAAUAGAUAUUUCAUUAAGCAAACAGAAAAUGCAGUAACGAAGAAGAAGGACAAACUCACAAACAUAGUAAGUGGUAAUUUCAUAUACACAUAGGAAACACACUUAACACAAAGUGUAAGAACAUUGUUUCAUAUUUCUAGCUAGAAUAACAACAAGUAGAAUAGAGUCAAAAGAAGAGCUAAUGAACAGAGUAAAAGUUGGUUUCUUUAAAUUUUUAUAUUUUUCUUGAUUUGCUUUUUGGUUUAGUUGAUGGGGAAUAAGAAACAUAGAAUAAUUGUAAUAUGUCGAUAAAAGUGAAAAAGCAAACAAACAAAAAGACCGGAAACUGCUGUAGAGGUUGUCCUUUUUUGAAUUGGAGGUAGCAACUAUAUAUGACAUUUGCCUUUCCUAAAAG
rnacentral:lncRNA from 1 species